rnacentral:rRNA from 1 species
AUUGAACGCUGGCGGCAGGCCUAACACACGCAAGUCGAACGGUAACAGGAAGCAGCUUGCUGCUUCGCUGACGAGUGGCGGACGGGUGAGUAAUGUCUGGGAAGCUGCCUGAUGGAGGGGGAUAACUACUGGAAACGGUAGCUAAUACCGCAUAAUGUCGCAAGACCAAAGAGGGGGACCUUCGGGCCUCUUGCCAUCGGAUGUGCCCAGAUGGGAUUAGCUUGUUGGUGGGGUAACGGCUCACCAAGGCGACGAUCCCUAGCUGGUCUGAGAGGAUGACCAGCCACACUGGAACUGAGACACGGUCCAGACUCCUACGGGAGGCAGCAGUGGGGAAUAUUGCACAAUGGGCGCAAGCCUGAUGCAGCCAUGCCGCGUGUAUGAAGAAGGCCUUCGGGUUGUAAAGUACUUUCAGCGGGGAGGAAGGGAGUAAAGUUAAUACCUUUGCUCAUUGACGUUACCCGCAGAAGAAGCACCGGCUAACUCCGUG